GACGUCGGGAGCAGGAGCGAGCGGCCAGCCGCGCGGCGCCUCGUGGGGAUGAAUGGGAGGCGCAGGGGGCGGCGGGCCCCGCGAGGCCGCCCGUCCUCCAGCCCCCGCGGCGCUCAUCGUCCUUACCAUCGCGACCACCGGCGAGCGCUGCACCCCGCUAGCCGCCGACUCCGCCGCUGCCCGCCCCUCGUGACCGGAGCGGCUGCCGCUACACCCAAGCGACCCGCGCUAAAAGAAAUGGCCGCCAAAAGGCGGCCUGACCUUUCACCUCCCGCCGCCUUGUCUCGGCUUCUGUGAUUGGUCACCAAAGACGUGUUUACUGAUUGGAGGGGAUGGCGGUACUGUUUCCUAGCAACCAGUGCCAUCUGCCUUGUCCCUGUCAUUUUAAGGGCUAUACAUAAAAGUUCCAAGAGGAAGGAAUGACACAUGAACUGUUUCCUGGUGCACGUUGACUGAUUGUGACAAGACAAACAGGAAUGUCUGCUGAAUGACCCUUCUAGAUCCCUGUGGGUGUCUUGGCAACGAGCUGGCCAGGCCUGGUGGCUUCUUCUUGCCUCUCUCCAAGGACUUGCAGUUCUGGGCAGCUGUUGUUCCCUGCACUGGAAUGUGACCUCCUCGAUGAGUAACUGGUACCCAUGUGCGGACUGAUCUCCCUCCAUACACAAGACUCUUCCCGCUUUGAGUCUUUGAAGUUCAGGCCACCCCCAGGCAAAUGUAACAUGAAGGUGCCAGGCCUAUGGAGGACUUGUCUGUUUAUUCCUGCCAGGUUUGUGUGGCCCUCUGCUCAGCUGGGGGCUAGCCAAGCCGUCAUGCAGAUAGCUCAGGGAAUACAGGUGCGUGCUGCCAAGCCGGACAACUUGAGUCAGAUCCCUGGAACCUACAGGGGGAAGGAGAGACUACAUCCCUGAGGCUUGUUCUUUGACCCCACAUAUGCACUGUGAUCAAAAUAUGUGACUACACGUGACCUACAAGCCUGCACAGCUAUGCACUUGUUUUGCUUCAAUAACAUAUGAACUAGUAUUGACACAUACUGGGAAUUAAUAUGCAUUCAAAGGAUUUCUUCAUAAGAUGAUUCCCCAUGCUUGCGGUGCAUGGUGAGCAACGAGAGUGUUCUGCUCUUUACGCUCUUAUCCCGGACUGUGAUUAAAGCCACAUUAAUGCAAACAUGACUAAUUUGGAAUUUAUGGGAAUUCCAUUGGAGCUGAACUUAGCCAUUGUUCUCUGAAAAAAAAAAAAACUUAUUAAGAAAAUUACCACAUAAAAAAGAAUGCCAAAUGACUCCCUAGAGAGCCACAGAGACUUUCUGACUUCUAAGAGGCAUCCCAGAUACCACCAAAAAGGUACAAGCAUAACUAAAGGCCCACGGCUUCCAGUAAGAUCACCAGACAACCAAAUCGGUAUCUCGUUUUUCUAUUCCUGGAGCAACCUUCAGAUAAGCCAAGUUUAUUUAUUUCAUAUAUAAAGCAUAA